rnacentral:lncRNA from 1 species
GUCUUUUCAAAAUGAGACGCACACGAAAUAGCAUGCAUAUAGCCCAAAUGCGCACAUAUUCGAUUAUAAAAUUCCUUUGAAAUACAACAGUAUGAAAAUGUUUUCAAUAUAAUAUACCUGGGAAUUUGUCAGCGAGACGUUUCUUUUGUAAUCGUUCACUAACAGCCAUUGAUAACAAAUGCCACGAAAAAUGCGCCAACAAAAUUCUUAAAAUCCCGGGAUGUUCGUUAAAGAAGUGAACCUUGGAUGAGUGUGAAUUUGCGCGCGCGAGCAGACCUGUAAUGUAGAACAUUGAAAGCAACCAAUCAAAUCUCUAAACCCAAUAGGGAAAAAUUUUGACUUUUUAGAUCACAUUUCAACUGAGAAGAAAAACUCACAAUGGGUUCGCGCGGCAGCUGCAUGGCAGCGUUUAGAAAUACUUUUACCGUUGCACUUGAUCACACGAAGCAUACUUUUUCCGUUGCACACGAAGAUCUGGCCAAGUACCAACUGAAAACGCUAACAUGUAAAAAACAACAUACGCCUUUGUCUCUGGAGACUGAUACUGAUUCUAAUGAUGAUACCGAUUCUAAUAAGGAGACUAACAGUUCUGCUGAAUCUGUAGGUAGGUUCUCUCACUGGAAAUGAUGCUGACCCAAUAUUUAUGCACUAAUAUUUGGCAGUUAGGAGGUACUAUUAUGUAGCUUUAGGAAGUACUAUUAACUCCCAAUGUUUUUUUUGCUGAAAGUUGCAGUAGAUUUCGUUUUAUAAAAUUUGCAUAUAUACCUAUAGGUUGAUACAAAAACCGAAUAUUCGAAUACACCGAAUACCGGAGCAAUUCAGUCCAUUUGGCAAACACAAGCAAUUGUGAUACAAGCGAUUUAGACCGCAGCACUUAUAGCGGAAAUCCCAGUCAUGAAAUUCUACCUUUGAGCUUAGAUCCAGAAUGCAAUGCAUCAGCAAUUGCUGCAGGCUUCAGCGAUAUCGAAGACACCUCGACAUGCAUUCACACAGAUAGCGACUCUUCCAUAUCAAGUGAUGACACUAUGGAACUUUCUUCUGGUGAUAAUGAACAAACAAGUGAUUCAGACGAUGAAAUAAUAACCUCCCAAUACUUAGAACUGUUCCAGGGGUCUCCUUUAUCCGUGGAAGAACUUAAUGCGGUUCUACUAGCUUUGAAGCAGAGACACAAUUUUUCAAAUUUUGCUUUGGGUAGCAUUUUGAAAAUGCUUCAACUGUGUCUACCAGAUAGCACCAACCUUUCUGCAUCAAGCUACAUCUUGAAAAAAAGAAUGAAAGAGAGCUCACAUAUAUUUCCAUAAGAUAUGUGACAUGCAUGAAUUGCCAAAGCCCCUUGGUUGAUGACCUGUGCAGGAACGAAAAGUGCUCGUUACAUAGAAUGCCUGCAAAAGGAGGAAAUUCGAGUAUCUUUUAUGUUAUAGACAUUCUUCCAGAGUUAAAAAGAUUAAUAUCAGGCUAAUGGCAUAUUAUUAAAAGAUUUACUGUGGCCUACCAGCAUACUUUUGUGAUAUUUACAAAGAUAUAUUAGAUGGAAAAUCAUAUCAAUCGCAGAGUACUGAAGUACGAAAAGAUGGUCAUUUCCCAAUCACCCUUUAUUGGCAUGUUGAUGGAGCACCCGCGUUUAGAUCGAGCAGCGCCUCUAUCUGGCCUGUUCAGAGCUUUGUUGUCGAACUUCCACCACCAUUGCGAUAAUCUUUUAAGAACAAUAUAAUGUUCUGUAUUUGGUAUGGAAAACGAAAACCGAAUAAGGAGGUUAUAAGGAGGGAAAACCGAAUAAACAGAAAUUUGUUGAAGAAGUGAUUCAUUUAGGCUCUGGCCCGACAAUUUCUAUUGGUGAUCUUGAAUCAAAGUUUAAACUAGUCGUAAAUGGGCAAGUUGUUGACUUAGUCGCAAAAGCCCCCUCUGUUAAUUUUAUCCAGUUCAAUGGAAAGUCUGGCUAUUGUUCUUGUCUCCAUUCAGGGCAAAAAAUGGUUGGCCCUGGUAAUAAACGUGUUUAUCCUUAUACGAGCACGCCAUUUCCACGCCGCACACACGAAGAUACAGUAGCUUACGCACAAAUAGCUUAGGAAACAGGAGAAACAGUUUUUGGAGUAAAAGAGCGGUCGAAUGUGCAUUCAAUUCUCAAGAUUCCAGGGAAAGUUGAGAUCAUUCAAAGAAUUUAAAAGAUGGAAAGCUAGUGAAAAGCAGGCCUUUUUCCUCCACGCUAGCCUUCCAAUUUUGAAAGAUAUUCUGCCAUCGGAGUUCUUUUUCCAUUUCUCGUCACUGGCGUUCGGAUUUUAUGUUAUGGAUAUAACAUUACUGAGGACCAGAUCUAUCUCAGUUGCUGGGGCUAUGCUCGACAGUUACACAAGGAUGCUUCCGAAACUGUAUGAUAUUUCAGAAGCAACUUUCAACUCGCAUUCCCUCACCUUGCCGAACAUGGGCCUUGCUUAGAGAGCAUUGGCCUUUAAUCCUUCAUUCUGCUUUUGUGUUUGAAUCAAUGCUUGCGCAUCUUAAAAGGCUGUUUCAUGGUACACGGGGAAUACCAGAUCAGAUAUGUAAAAAUCAGUAAGAAAGAAAUCAGUAUGCUUUCUUGUUGAUAUUAAAGAAGCUGACAAAUAUUUUGGAGAAGUAAAAUUUUUCGUGAAGAAGGAGAACACUGGUUUCGCAAUAAUAAGGGUUUAUCAUAGUUUAAAUUAUAACGAGUGUCAAGAAGGUUUACCCCCGCCAACAGAUCCAGUCCUGAAAGAGUUUUUGCAUUCAGGUCAUCUUGGUUCUCACUUCAUUGCUGUGGAAAGACAACCCUGGUGAAGUUUGUAAAUUGCUCAUCCUUUAUUGGUAAGAUAAUUUUGGUGGAAAGACAAAACGAUAGUUCUUUUGGUUUUGUUUCCCCAGUUCUCAAGUGUUAUUAGAAUGACUAAUUGAAACUGUUACCAAUUUUAAAAAUCUUUCAAAUUAUGAACCUUUAAAACUUUCGUAAGAAUAUAUGUAAUAAUCCUGUAAUAACGCAAAACGAUUUAAAAAAAUCUUGUAAGAAUAUGGUAAGAUCUUAAAGAGAUCCUGUAAGAAUUUCUUUAGGGCUUCUUUACUAUGAGUUGACCUACCAGGUUAGAUAAACAAAUAACCUAGAUUACCGUUUAUAAUUGCAAAACCAAGUGAAACCUUGUAUAAGCAACUUGGUUAGAUGCUUUAGCAAGCACAUGACAUGCAGCAUAAGGCAUCUGCUAAUGGAAUAAAAUCUGCUAAUGUUGGCCCCAAAACUCGUCAGACUUGCUGAGGGAAAGAACUUCUCAGGAGAGGGAAAGAAAUUGCUAAAUCUUACGAAAUGUGGAGAGAACAUCGAGUGUGGUGCUGAUAGUGAAAGUGCUGAAUUGAAUGCAGUGGAACAAGCUUAUGUUGCUUUAUGUCUGUUGCCAAUGAUGCUAGAAAGUCAACAGCAAUGUGCAAUCCAGCAUCAUAUCUUUGUCAGUUUCGAGAAGCUAAAGAUGUCACAAGAAGUUCAAAGCCUGGCAUGGGACCAUAGAAGAGCCUCAGGUAGAUGAAGUGUACGGUUGUUGCUAAAAAUCGAGUUGUUUUCUCAAGACUACCAUUACUUCAUGCUGUGGAGAUGAUGAUGCUCCUGUAUUAUGUUUGCAACAUUGAAUACCCGAGAGAGUAUAGCAAUACAAUUGUAUUUUUACAAAGGCAAAUGCUGAA